UUAUUUGUAUUUCUCGAUUUAAAUUGAUCUAUUUAAUUAUAAAUUUUAUUGUAACAAUAAUAUUUUAAAUAAUUAUAUAGAAAUGAAAUGUUAAUCGUAAUUUAAUAUAUCUAGUUUUUUAAGAAAUAAAUUUAAUUUAGUUUAUUUAAUAUAAUAAAAUUAUUUAAUAUUUUUAUUAUUUAUAUAAUUUAAUAUUUAUAGGGAUAAGCUUAUAAAUAAAUUAUUAGGAUUUUUAUAAGGGGAUAUUAUGUAGGAUUAGAAAUUUUCAUCAUUAAUAAAAAUGUUAUAAUAAAAUAUUUUAUUAAAUAGAUUUAUAUAUUGAGUCUUAAUUAUUUUAUUAGAAUAAUAAAUUUAAUUUUAAGGUUUUUGUAAUUAUGAUAGAAUUAGUAUAAAAUUUUUAAAUAAAUAUAUUUAAUGUAAGGUUUAUUAAAGGAACUCGGCAAAUAGUAUUCUUGCCUGUUUAUUAAAAACAUGGUUUUUUGAUUAUAAUAAAAGAUUUGGCCUGCUCAAUGAUUAAUUAUUAAAUAGCUGCAGUAAAUUGACUGUACAAAGGUAGCAUAAUCAUUAGUUAUUUAAUUGAUAACUGGAAUGAAGGGUCGGACAAGGAAUAAUCUGUCUUUAAAAAAAUUGAAUAGAAUUUUAUUUUUAAGUAAAAAAGCUUAAAUUUAUUUAAAAGACGAGAAGACCCUAUAGAGUUUUAUAUAAAAUUUUAUAUUUUUUAAUAAGGAUUAUUUAAAUAUAUAAAAUUUUAUAUUUUAUUGGGGCGAUGGAAAAAUUUAAUUAACUUUUUUAAAAUUAAUUACAUUGAUUUAUGAAAAAUUGAUUCAUAUAUUAUGAUUAUUAGAUUAAAUUACCUUAGGGAUAACAGCGUAAUUUUUUUUAGAGUUCGUAUUGAAUUAGAAGAUUGCGACCUCGAUGUUGGAUUAAAAUUUUAACUAGGUGAAGAAGUUUAGUUUAUAGGUCUGUUCGACCU
rnacentral:rRNA from 1 species